rnacentral:rRNA from 1 species
GGAACGCUAGCUACAGGCUUAACACAUGCAAGUCGAGGGUCAGCAUGGUCUUAGCUUGCUAAGGCCGAUGGCGACCGGCGCACGGGUGAGUAACACGUAUCCAACCUGCCGUCUACUCUUGGACAGCCUUCUGAAAGGAAGAUUAAUACAAGAUGGCAUCAUGAGUCCGCAUGUUCACAUGAUUAAAGGUAUUCCGGUAGACGAUGGGGAUGCGUUCCAUUAGAUAGUAGGCGGGGUAACGGCCCACCUAGUCUUCGAUGGAUAGGGGUUCUGAGAGGAAGGUCCCCCACAUUGGAACUGAGACACGGUCCAAACUCCUACGGGAGGCAGCAGUGAGGAAUAUUGGUCAAUGGGCGAGAGCCUGAACCAGCCAAGUAGCGUGAAGGAUGACUGCCCUAUGGGUUGUAAACUUCUUUUAUAAAGGAAUAAAGUCGGGUAUGCAUACCCGUUUGCAUGUACUUUAUGAAUAAGGAUCGGCUAACUCCGUGCCAGCAGCCGCGGUAAUACGGAGGAUCCGAGCGUUAUCCGGAUUUAUUGGGUUUAAGGGAGCGUAGAUGGAUGUUUAAGUCAGUUGUGAAAGUUUGCGGCUCAACCGUAAAAUUGCAGUUGAUACUGGAUAUCUUGAGUGCAGUUGAGGCAGGCGGAAUUCGUGGUGUAGCGGUGAAAUGCUUAGAUAUCACGAAGAACUCCGAUUGCGAAGGCAGCCUGCUAAGCUGCAACUGACAUUGAGGCUCGAAAGUGUGGGUAUCAAACAGGAUUAGAUACCCUGGUAGUCCACACGGUAAACGAUGAAUACUCGCUGUUUGCGAUAUACAGCAAGCGGCCAAGCGAAAGCGUUAAGUAUUCCACCUGGGGAGUACGCCGGCAACGGUGAAACUCAAAGGAAUUGACGGGGGCCCGCACAAGCGGAGGAACAUGUGGUUUAAUUCGAUGAUACGCGAGGAACCUUACCCGGGCUUAAAUUGCAGAUGAAUUACGGUGAAAGCCGUAAGCCGCAAGGCAUCUGUGAAGGUGCUGCAUGGUUGUCGUCAGCUCGUGCCGUGAGGUGUCGGCUUAAGUGCCAUAACGAGCGCAACCCUUGUUGUCAGUUACUAACAGGUUCCGCUGAGGACUCUGACAAGACUGCCAUCGUAAGAUGUGAGGAAGGUGGGGAUGACGUCAAAUCAGCACGGCCCUUACGUCCGGGGCUACACACGUGUUACAAUGGGGGGUACAGAGGGCCGCUACCACGCGAGUGGAUGCCAAUCCCCAAAACCUCUCUCAGUUCGGACUGGAGUCUGCAACCCGACUCCACGAAGCUGGAUUCGCUAGUAAUCGCGCAUCAGCCACGGCGCGGUGAAUACGUUCCCGGGCCUUGUACACACCGCCCGUCAAGCCAUGGGAGCCGGGGGUACCUGAAGUCCGUAACCGCGAGGAUCGGCCUAGGGUAA